rnacentral:rRNA from 1 species
AUUGAACGCUGGCGGCAGGCUUAACACAUGCAAGUCGAGCGGAGAGAGGUAGCUUGCUACUGAUCUUAGCGGCGGACGGGUGAGUAAUGCUUAGGAAUCUGCCUAUUAGUGGGGGACAACAUUUCGAAAGGAAUGCUAAUACCGCAUACGUCCUACGGGAGAAAGCAGGGGAUCUUCGGACCUUGCGCUAAUAGAUGAGCCUAGGUCGGAUUAGCUAGUUGGGGGGGUAAAGGCCUACCAAGGCGACGAUCUGUAGCGGGUCUGAGAGGAUGAUCCGCCACACUGGAACUGAGACACGGCCCAGACUCCUACGGGAGGCAGCAGUGGGGAAUAUUGGACAAUGGGCGGGAGCCUGAUCCAGCCAUGCCGCGUGUGUGAAGAAGGCCUUAUGGUUGUAAAGCACUUUAAGCGAGGAGGAGGCUACUUUAGUUAAUACCUAGAGAUAGUGGACGUUACUCGCGGAAUAAGCACCGGCUAACUCUGUGCCAGCAGCCGCAGUAA